CCUACGGGUGGCAGCAGUGGGGGAUAUUGCACAAUGGGGGAAACCCUGAUGCAGCGACGCCGCGUGUGGGAAGACGGUCCUCUGGAUUGUAAACCACUGUCCCCAGGGACGAAGAUGACGGUACCGGGGGAGGAAGCGCCGGCUAACUACGUGCCAGCAGCCGCGGUAAUACGUAGGGAGCGAGCGUGGUCCGGAAUUACUGGGUGUAAAGGGAGCGUAGGCGGGACUGCAAGUUGGGUGUCAAAUCUACCGGCUCAACCGGGAGCCGCACUCCAAACUGCAGUUCUUGAGUGAAGUAGAGGCAGGCGGACUUCCUCGUGUAGCGGUGCACUGCGUAGAUAUUAGGAGGAACACCAGUGGCGAAGGCGGCCUGCUGGGCUUUUCCUGACGCUGAGGCUCGAAAGUGUGGGGAGCAAACAGGAUUAGAUACCCUUGUAGUC
rnacentral:rRNA from 1 species